GCGCCCUGUUACCACAGGGGCAGAGCCUGGGAAGGUCAGGGUUUGCACACAGAGGGCCCCUGGAGAGCUGUCCAGGGCACAUCCCUGCAGCCAGUCACAAGGGGAAGGCAGAGGGUGAGAUGCGGUGACCUGCUGGGUGCUGAGCUGGCAACACAUGACCAGACACUUCAGGAGGGCAGCGCUCUGCAGGUCUUGCUGAGUCCUCCGGCCCCGACACAGGCUCAGCAGCACUGAAUGCACUGGGUAGACGGAGGAGAUGUUCCCACUGGCAGCGAGCCCCACUUCAGUGCAGGGGUGCAGGCUGCUGCUGCAUGUGCUGUUACCAUCUUGGGCGCAGCCAGUGGCCCUGAAGAUGGCCUGUCGGGCAUGGAGUCCUGGCUCCAUCUGCUCCUCUCUGUCUCCACUGCUGCCAUUCUUAUCCAAGCCGCGUGUGUUUUGCCUCCUGCUGAAGGUGACACCAGCCUUGUGACACCUGUCCCUGCUGGAGUGGGGUGGAGAUUGUCUUGUAAUGCCCCUUCCAGAAAGCCGAAAGCCGUGGAAAUAGGUGGCCAGAACGAGCCUUGUUUCUUGUUAUUAA
rnacentral:lncRNA from 1 species